rnacentral:rRNA from 1 species
AUGUACCCCUCAAAAUACAUUAACUUUGGUGAGAAGAAAAAGGUUGCACUUUUACUUGAAAUUACGUACAUGCAUUUUGAUGCUUUGCAUGGUUUCGGAAAAGAUCAAGCAAAGGAUCAUCGAAUGUAUCCAUGCAUGUUGGUUAGCCAGGGAAACAUAUCAGUACAGGACUCCGGCGCGUACAAAUAUUUUGGAGGUCUCGGUUUGCAUUUUAUUGGUGCACGAGAAGAUUCCUAUUUCCUAGGAGAUGCUCAUGGAGAUGCAAGUAAAAUCCAAAUAGAUUUCCUCUUUAUAUUUUUACCAGAGAAGGUGCAUCACCGUGGCAAAUUCUGGAGGAGGUUACGUGAGUUGUUCUCAUUAAAAAAUACAGGUUGGGGUCCACCACCAGAAUUAUUUUGUUUGAUACUUGUCGAGAUGUAG